AUACCAGAAAGUGCUAGAUACACUCAGCAGCUCAGUUGGCACCAAUGGAGAGGGAAGGCAAAGCUUUAGAUGACCCCAAGGUCACUGCGGUCUCUCUUCAAUCCAUCACUCUGCACACAGGGACCCCAGCAUUGUCAACUGUGCGGCAAUCUCUUUGACUCCCUACCAUCAGGCAGGAGAUAUAUGGAAAACAGGUUGUACAACAAUACAGCGGGGGCCGGAACCAGAUGGUGAAACAGAGCCAAUCAGUGACCCUGCCGACCCCAAGGACGUGUUCAAAGCGACCUUGGCUUCACAUGUGCAGUCAAGAACCAUCUUUGGGGAUUAUGAGACCUCAAGUGAUUGGACAAUUGUGCUAACUCAAAUGGUAUAAAGGUAACUUGCAGAACACCAGCUCUAUCGUGAUUAACAUUCGAUUUCCAAUCUGAAUCCUUGUCAGCGUAAUUUUCAAAGUAACUAACAAAUUUCAAUAGAGAAUCAACCUAUGACAAACUCAAAAUGUAUACUAAGGCUAAAAGUAUUCCAAUUAGGAACACAAUUUCUUGUGCAAUGAAGCAACAUGUAUGACAGGUCACCAUGCUGGUUUAGUGGCAUCUAUGAAAAAGAGAUUCCAAGGCUGUUUGCAAUCCAUUGUGUAAUUCAUCACCCAGCUAAAAACCUCAGUCAGUGAAUUUGUUCAAGCAUGGCUCUUGUAAUAUCUGCACUCAACCAGUAAAUAGCAGAAUAUUUCACCAGUGAUGCCAAGAUAAUGAUGAAGAGUUUGGAUGCUUGCUUCUUCACACCGAACUGUUGGCUGUCAAAAGGUUGCUGCUUAGAACGUUUCUUCGAUCUUUUUGACACUGUGGUUGAUUUUUUUGCUCAAAGUCAACAAGAGCUUGGGAACAAGAUUGAAAUUCUACAUGGAGAUGUGGCAUUCCUAGCCGAUCUGUAUGGGAAAAUGAACAUUGUAAAUAUGAAACUGCGGGGCGAGAAUUUCAAUUUAAUCCAUGCAUAAAAGCCUACUUUUAUUGGAAGAUUGAAAAUAUAUAAAACAUUGGAAGAAUGUUCUCGCAGUUUCCCUGCAUAGAAAGUAUGCACAGACAGUGAUUUGCAAGAGUACUGCUUACACCUGCAGUCACUGAAGAAGGAUUUUCAGAAUCGACUCAAGGAUUUGAACAAUCUGGGAAUUCUGUACUGGGUAAUUAACCCAUUUCUUUGCAAGGUGGAAGAACAGGAAGAGGGCUUGCAAGAAGAAAUGAUCAAAAUUCAGAAAGAUGAAGAAGCGAAAAUGUUUUUCAAAAAUGUCGGCUUUUGGGGGUCCUGUCGGAGUCCGUGAUCUACAACUGUACACAAACUGUUGUUCUCCGUGGCAGCGGGGUCCUCUCUCAGAGCUCACCAAGUACACUCUUGUUUUUGGUGUUUCCAGGAGCAAGUUGGAAGACAUCCGCCUUCGGGGUGUGGCCUUGUGCAGCUCUGUAGACAACCCGAUUCCUUGCUGGUGUCACUGACUGAAGCUUUACGGGAGUUCGGAACAUCGACACAGCGUGUGCAGCUGUCAGAGGCCCUAGCACGUGGGAGAUCUCUGUCUCGAUGCUGAGAUACAGUUUGCUGUCGAUUAUCGAGUCAGUGAAGCUUGAAAUAAAGCAGUGCUGAAGACCGUAACUUGGAAACAGCGAGCUUUUGGUCUCGCUCUCGCUGUGGCAGGAAUGUCGGUGCGAGAGAGCCUGUGGGUGUCGAGCUGCUGGGUUUUGAUGAACUCCAGACCGUAGUCUCUGCUA